CGCGCACUUUUAUUAGUGUAGCGUUCCCGCACUUGUAAAAACUUCUGCAAUAGUCCAGUGGCAAAAGAAAUUGGACCUCAUCUACCUUUUUUCCGCUCUUGUGUAAUAGUGAAAAUGACCGACGCGGAUACAUUGAAAUGCGAAAGUGCAAUAAAUCGUUUUAAUAUUUUGGGAGCAUCCGAAUCCAUGGUAGAAGCCUCUCCUUGUAACUUCAACAUUAAACACUGGAACUAACUCAGCGGAAUUAAAUCGAAAUGAGAAUAAUUUUAUUCAAUAUAUUGUAGGUUGUAAACGUGCACGUGUUUAUAAAUAUAUUAUUAGCUUAAUGCAUCUUUUUUGCCCCGAAA